rnacentral:tRNA from 1 species
GCGGACGUGGCGGAAUUGGCAGACGCACCAGCCUUAGGAGCUGGCGCCGCAAGGCGUGGGGGUUCGAGUCCCCCCGUCCGCAC